rnacentral:lncRNA from 1 species
AACAAGUGGGCAUUUUAUCACCUAUAUGUUAUGAAAUUCAAUGCCAAUUUUGCAUUAUGCAAGGGAAUAUGAAGAACAAUACAAAGUAGACAUUAACAAAGUGUCAGAAAUAAGAGAUGUGAUAGAAAAUCUUCAAGUCUCUUGGUUCACUUAAAGCUUCAAUAACUCCUUCUCAUCCAUGUCGGUCAUUCACCAGUCGUCCCCC